rnacentral:rRNA from 1 species
AUUGAACGCUGGCGGCAGGCCUAACACAUGCAAGUCGAACGGCAGCACAGAAGAGCUUGCUCUUUGGGUGGCGAGUGGCGGACGGGUGAGUAAUGUCUGGGAAACUGCCCGAUGGAGGGGGAUAACUACUGGAAACGGUAGCUAAUACCGCAUAACGUCGCGAGACCAAGGUGGGGGACCUUCGGGCCUCACACCAUCGGAUGUGCCCAGAUGGGAUUAGCUAGUAGGUGGGGUAAUGGCUCACAUAGGCGACGAUCCCUAGCUGGUCUGAGAGGAUGACCAGCCACACUGGAACUGAGACACGGUCCAGACUCCUACGGGAGGCAGCAGUGGGGAAUAUUGCACAAUGGGCGCAAGCCUGAUGCAGCCAUGCCGCGUGUAUGAAGAAGGCCUUCGGGUUGUAAAGUACUUUCAGCGGGGAGGAAGGCGGUGAGGUUAAUAACCUCGCCGAUUGACGUUACCCGCAGAAGAAGCACCGGCUAACUCCGUGCCAGCAGCCGCGGUAA